AUACAGAGGGUGCGAGCGUUAAUCGGAAUUACUGGGCGUAAAGCGCGCGUAGGCGGCUUGGUCAGUCGGAUGUGAAAGCCCCGGGCUCAACCUGGGAAUGGCAUUCGAUACUGCCAGGCUAGAGUAUGGGAGAGGGAAGUGGAAUUUCCGGUGUAGCGGUGAAAUGCGUAGAGAUCGGAAGGAACACCAGUGGCGAAGGCGACUUCCUGGCCCAAUACUGACGCUGAGGUGCGAAAGCGUGGGGAGCGAACAGGAUUAGAUACCCCAGUAGUCC
rnacentral:rRNA from 1 species